rnacentral:lncRNA from 1 species
AUCAUUACUCCUUUGUUCAAUGAAGCCAUCUCUGUGUUGUCUCAAAAUAAAACCCUGAUACCUAUGGAGGAAGUAGCCCUUCAGAUCCUUUUAUUUUGCCAGGUUGGGAUUGGGACUCUGGUCAACAUCCUUCUGUUUGUCAACAAUUUCUCUCUAAUCUUAACUGACUCUCAACUUCAACCCAUACAGGUCAUUCUAGCCAACUUGUUUGUGUCCAAUGUCUUCAUUCUCCUCAGCUUCAUAUUUCCAAACAAUAUGAUACCUUUUGUUCCAAGGAACCCCCUAACGGACCUCAAAUGUAAACUUGGGUUCUUUUUUUCCCUUGGUGGCUCGAAGCAAAAACAUGUGCUCCACUUGUUCACUUAGCACCUACCAAUUUGUCACUAUUGCUCCCAGUAACUGGGGUCAAGUGAUGCUCAGAGGUAUAUCUCACAAGGUCUUGAGUUCUUCUUACAGCUGUUGGUUGUUUGGUGUCUUAAAUAAUGCUUACAUUCCAAUGAAAGUCAGAGGUCCACAAAAAAAGCAAGAUAAUGCUGAUUCUAAAAGCAAGUGGGUUUGCUCUAACCCUGGUUUCAGUAUAUACAUGACCUUCAUGUCGUUUGCCCACGUUCAUGAGCAUUAUGGUCUGGACCAGUGUCUCUAUGGUAAUUCACCUGAACAGACACCACUGGAGGCUACAGCACAUUUGCACUCCCAAUCAGGGCCACAGAUGCUAUGCUGAGACCAGAGCAACCCACACCAUCCUGAUGCUGGUGGUCACAUUUGUGAGCUUUUAUCUCCUGAAUUGUAUUUGUAAUUUAUUUCACAUUUCAAAAUUUUGUGGACUCUCUCAUCUCUGGUUGAGGGGUAUCAAUAAAGUCUUAACUGAAGGCUUCCCCACUAUGUCUCCUUUACUGUUGAUCAUUAUAGAGCCUAAGGAUGCUUGUUCUGUUCUCGUCCGUUGCUAAAU